AGAACGAACGCUGGCGGCAGGCCUAAUACAUGCAAGUCGAACGCACUCUUCGGAGUGAGUGGCAGACGGGUGAGUAACGCGUGGGAACCUUCCCAAUGGUACGGAAUAACUCCGGGAAACCGGUGCUAAUACCGUAUAAGCCCCUCGGGGGAAAGAUUUAUCGCCAUUGGAUGGGCCCGCGUCGGAUUAGCUAGUUGGUGAGGUAAUGGCUCACCAAGGCUACGAUCCGUAGCUGGUCUGAGAGGAUGAUCAGCCACACUGGGACUGAGACACGGCCCAGACUCCUACGGGAGGCAGCAGUAGGGAAUCUUGGACAAUGGGCGAAAGCCUGAUCCAGCCAUGCCGCGUGAGUGAAGAAGGCCGUUAGGUGUAAAGCUUCGUUUGGCGGGACGAUAAGUGACGGUACCCGCAGAAUAACGCCCGCUAACUCGUGCCAGCAGCCGC
rnacentral:rRNA from 1 species